rnacentral:rRNA from 1 species
GACAGAGGUGCCAAGCGUUAGGCGGAGUCACUGGGCUUAAAGCGUGUGUAGGCGGAUCGUUAAGUACCUUGUGAAAUCCCACGGCUCAACCGUGGAACUGCUGGGUAUACUGGCGGUCUUGAGCCACCUAGGGGCAACUGGAACAAGCGGUGGAGCGGUGAAAUGCGUAGAUAUCGCUUGGAACGCCAACGGUGAAAACAGGUUGCUGGGGGUGUGCUGACGCUGAGACACGAAAGCCAGGGGAGCGAACGGG